rnacentral:rRNA from 1 species
GACGAACGCUGGCGGCGUGCUUAACACAUGCCAGUCGAACGGAAAGGCCCUGCUUUUGUGGGGUGCUCGAGUGGCGAACGGGUGAGUAACACGUGAGUAACCUGCCCUUGACUUUGGGAUAACUUCAGGUAACUGCGGCUAAUACCGGAUAGGAGCUCCUGCUGCAUGGUGGGGGUUGGAUAGUUUCGGCGGUUGGGGAUGGACUCGCGGCUUAUCAGCGUGUUGGUGGGGUAGUGGCUUACCAAGGCUUUGACGGGUAGCCGGCCUGAGAGGGUGACCGGCCACAUUGGGACUGAGAUACGGAGCAGACUGCUACGGGAGGCAGCAGUGGGGAAUAUUGCACAAUGGGCGGAAGUCUGAUGCAGCAACGCCGCGUGCGGGAUGACGGCCUUCGGGUUGUAAACCGCUUUCGCCUGUGACGAAGCGUGAGUGACGGUAAUGGGUAAAGAAGCACCGGCUAACUACGUG